CCAAAAUUAACGUGAGCUGCUAGCUCCUUGGCUUGUUAGUCCCCCUGGACAAGCAUCACCUGAGCGCUCCUCCCCUAGGAAGAUCCUCCCACCUCUGGGGCUUGACCCCUUCCUUCCGGUCUCACCCCUACUCACCCUCCCCUCACCUCCUCCACUCCCCCGAACGGAGCUUAUUCUUUUCCACUUCGGAUUUCGGUCCCUUCCGUCCCACCCCUCCCUGCAAUGCCCCUUGUCUGUGCAAGGGCACCACUUGGGACCCCAGCCCUAGAUCUUCCAGCGGAUCAGAGGACGGGCCGGGGCUUUCUUUGGCUCUGGGGCGUAUCCGGGGCCGCCCCUCGCGCGCGUUACAGCUCUCCGAGCACCGGCGUCUCCCUCCUAAGCUACAAGCCCCAGAGCCCUUCGCACCUGAGCGUUUCCAGCCUUCUUCCGCACCCCCCACCUGCUCCAACUACAUUUCCCAGGGGCCACUGCGGCCCGAUUCAGUCUGGUGACGUAGCGGUGACGGUGGCUAGCGUUUCUCAGCGUGAGGCAGGACUUGUUCCUCAGUCUUACAGUGACUGACAAGUGGCGCCCGAACAGUGACCUGAGUACAUGGGCUGUUGAGAGGGACCCCGGAAAUAUUUCACACGCAGACAUAUACAGGGGACACUAAGGAUCCUCAUUGGAUACCUGAGCACCUCAUGAGAUUCUGUGGAUCCAGACCAGAUGGAUGGUGAAUUCCCUCCCCUGCAAUAUGGAUCCAGACCGGAUGGUGAACUCUCUCCCCCACCAUAUGAAGAGAAUGCGGCUCGACGACACUUCCAAUCCUCCUGAGAAACCAGCUCUCCAAGCUCAUCAGUGUUGUCUCUC